rnacentral:rRNA from 1 species
UAGGGAAUCUUCGGCAAUGGACGGAAGUCUGACCGAGCAACGCCGCGUGAGUGAAGAAGGUUUUCGGAUCGUAAAGCGCUCUUGUUAGAGAAGAACGUUGGUAGGAGUGGAAAAUCUACCAAGUGACGGUAACUAACCAGAAAGGGACGGCUAACUACGUGCCAGCAGCCGCGGUAAUACGUAGGUCCCGAGCGUUGUCCGGAUUUAUUGGGCGUAAAGCGAGCGCAGGCGGUUCUUUAAGUCUGAAGUUAAAGGCAGUGGCUUAACCAUUGUACGCUUUGGAAACUGGAGGACGUGAGUGCAGAAGGGGAGGGUGGAAUUCAAUGUGUAGCGGUGAAAUGCGUAGAUAUAUGGAGGAAAGCAGGUGGCGAAAGCGGCUCUCUGGUAUGUAACUGACGAUGAGGCUCGAAAGCGUGGGGAGCAAACAGG